CGGACGGGUGAGUAAUGUCUGGGAAACUGCCUGAUGGAGGGGGAUAACUACUGGAAACGGUAGCUAAUACCGCAUAACGUCGCAAGACCAAAGAGGGGGACCUUCGGGCCUCUUGCCAUCGGAUGUGCCCAGAUGGGAUUAGCUAGUAGGUGGGGUAAAGGCUCACCUAGGCGACGAUCCCUAGCUGGUCUGAGAGGAUGACCAGCCACACUGGAACUGAGACACGGCCCAG
rnacentral:rRNA from 1 species